UACAGAGGGGGCAAGCGUUGUUCGGAUUUACUGGGUUUAAAGGGUGCGUAGGUGGAUAAUUAAGUCAGUGGUGAAAUCUUCAGGCUUAACCUGGAAACUGCCAUUGAUACUAUUUAUCUUGAAUACUUUGGAGGUAAGCGGAAUAUGUCAUGUAGCGGUGAAAUGCUUAGAUAUGACAUAGAACACCAAUUGCGAAGGCAGCUUACUACACAGUAAUUGACACUGAGGCACGAAAGCGUGGGGAUCAAACAGG
rnacentral:rRNA from 1 species